rnacentral:ribozyme from 1 species
AUUCUAAGUUGUUCUGUAAAAGAGUUGGAUCCGACGCCCCUAGAAGGCUACUAUAGGCUCUCCUUCUCUACUCCUACUCAAUACGUCCACGACGUGCAGAACGGUAACUUGUCGCCUAGAUCCAAGCUUGGGUACACGGGGAAACCCAACCCCUUGGGCGGAUGGGCGGCAAGGCAGAAUUGAGAGGU